AGCAGCCGCGGUAAUUCCAGCUCCAAUAGCGUAUAUUAAAGUUGUUGCAGUUAAAAAGCUCGUAGUUGAAUUUCGGGGUUAGUAGGUUGGUCAUGCCUCUGGUAUGUACUGGUCUCACUGAUUCCUCCUUCCUGAUGAGCCGUAAUGCCAUUAAUUUGGUGUUGCGGGGAAUUUGGACUGUUACUUUGAAAAAAUUAGAGUGUUUAAAGCAAGCUAACGCUUGAAUACAUUAGCAUGGAAUAAUGAAAUAGGACGUUCGAUCCUAUUUUGUUGGUUUCUAGGAUUGACGUAAUGAUUAAUAGGGAUAGUUGGGGGCAUUAGUAUUCAAUUGCCAGAGGUGAAAUUCUUGGAUUUAUUGAAGACUAACUACUGCGAAAGCAUUUGCCAAGGAUGUUUUCAUUAAUCAAGAACGAAAGUUAGGGGAUCGAAGACGAUCAGAUACCGUCGUAGUUUUAACCAUAAACUAUGCCGACUAGGGAUCGGAUGAUGUUAAUUUUUAAUGACUCAUUCGGCGCCUUAC
rnacentral:rRNA from 1 species